rnacentral:rRNA from 1 species
UACGGAGGGUGCGAGCGUUGUCCGGAAUCACUGGGCGUAAAGGGCGCGUAGGUGGCGCGAGGAGUCUGUGGUGAAAGCCCGAGGCUCAACUUCGGGUCGGCCGCGGAUACUCUCGUGCUGGAGGGUGGUAGAGGCCAAUGGAAUUCCGGGUGUAGCGGUGGAAUGCGUAGAGAUCCGGAAGAACACCGGUGGCGAAGGCGGUUGGCUGGGCCGAUAUUGACGCUGAGGAGCGAAAGCGUGGGGAGCAAACAGG